rnacentral:sRNA from 1 species
GUGUAGAAGAAGAAGAAGAAACGC